GUUUGAUCCUGGCUCAGGAUAAACGCUGGCGGCGUGCAUAACACAUGCAAGUCGAACGAUGAAACUUAGAUGAUUUCUUCGGAAUGAACUUAAGUGGAUUAGUGGCGAACGGGUGAGUAACACGUGAGUAACCUGCCUUACACAAGGGGAUAGCCUCUGGAAACGGAGAAUAAUACCCUAUAAAGUCUAAUCAGCACAUGCUGGAAAGACCAAAGAUUUAUCGGUGUAAGAUGGACUUGCGUCUGAUUAGCUAGUUGGUGAGAUAAAAGCUCACCAAGGCGACGAUCAGUAGCCGGCUUGAGAGAGUGUACGGCCACAUUGGGACUGAGACACGGCCCAAACUCCUACGGGAGGCAGCAGUGGGGAAUUUUGCACAAUGGGGGAAACCCUGAUGCAGCGACGCCGCGUGAUUUAGAAGGCCUUCGGGUUGUAAAAAUCUUUUUUACGGGAUGAAAAUGACAGUACCGUAAGAAUAAGGUCCGGCUAAAUACGUGCCAGCAGCCGCGGUAAUACGUAUGGACCGAGCGUUGUCCGGAAUCAUUGGGCGUAAAGGGUACGUAGGCGGCCUAAUAAGUUAGAAGUGAAAGAAUAUAGCUCAACUAUAUAAAGCUUUUAAAACUGUUAGGCUUGAGAGAUGAAAGGGAAAGUGGAAUUCCUAGUGUAGCGGUGAAAUGCGCAGAUAUUAGGAAGAAUACCGGUGGCGAAAGGCGACUUUCUGGUCAUCAUCUGACGCUGAGGUACGAAAGCGUGGGUAGCAAACAGGAUUAGAUACCCUGGUAGUCCACGCNGUAAACGAUGAGUGUUAGGUUCUUGGAAUAAUCUGGGAGCCGCAGCUAACGCAUUAAACACUCCGCCUGGGGAGUACGCACGCA
rnacentral:rRNA from 1 species